AACAACAUCUGCAGGAGAAUCAUUUCUAUAGUAAUCGACCUCCUCUUGGUUCCCUACAAGAGCCACAGAACCCACCCUGGUUGAUGAGUGCAUAUCCCCGACGCCCUAGAGUGAAAACCUCUUGGUCCUCUCGUCCUGUCCGCAAGGAUGGCGGCGCUGCUUCUCGGAGCGGCUGCUGUAUAGAGAGUUUGUCUCGGCACCUCGUGUGCCUUUUACUCUUGAUGAUCUCGACCCCGUCUGCGGUCUGCCUUCGGGCGCGCGGGCGGGGUGGGCGUUGGUGGAAGUCUGACAGGC
rnacentral:snoRNA from 1 species